CUUGCCUACUUUAGGGCACCCACCAUGUUUAAUAGAUUCAGGAAUGAAAAAGAGAGAAGGAAAAACUGGCAAAAGUCAAGUGUUUAUAAAAUUCUGGCCAUGUUUACCUAACACCCAGCAACACAUGGCACACAUACGUGUAACCACCAGAACUUUACAACAGAGGAUAGAUGAACAUAAAAAAGACAUAGCUAAUGGAAAGCUAUCCAUUGCUCUUGCCACAGAAGCAUUCAGCAGUGAUCUGCAAAUAGACUGGAAAAAUGCAAGAAUAAUAAAGCCUUUAGCUGUACAAUCCCAAGC
rnacentral:lncRNA from 1 species